AUGGCCAAGCUCGCGCAGUCCUCCUUCGCUCUCGACCUCCUGCGCCGCCUCCUCUGCGCGCACACCGCCGGCAAUGCGGCAGGCGGGGGCAACGCCAACACCGUCCGUGCCGACGUCGCCGCCCUACGGCGCGGCGACGAUGCCGCGGCGCGGAAGGAGGAGGAGGAGGGGGCGACGGCCAGGAGCCCCUGCAUUGUGGCCAGGCUGAUGGGCCUCGACGCGAUGCCGACGCCGGCGCGCGACCAGCAGCAGACGCUGCGCCGGAGCCGCUCCGCGAGCUCGGCCGAGGGCUGGUCGUCGCCCACGCCGUGCUGCUUCGGCGACGCGCCGCGGCGCAGGGUGGCCAGGACCACGUCCGCGUCCUUCCGGGACAGGCCCACGUACCUGAGGCGGGAGAACGACGAGUUCCUGCUCCUCAGCUUCAGCCCGGACGACGACGGCAGCGACGACCGCGACGCGGCGGGGUGGCCCAGAAGCGACGACGACGCGGAGAGCAGGCGCGGCAAGAGGACGGUGGACGGCGACGGGGCCAAGAAACAGAGGCGGGGGCGCCGGAGGCUCCCGCGCCGGCGGCGGCGCGGCGACGAGGAGGCCGAGUCGGAGCAUGCCCGGAGCAGGAGGCCGGCCGCGGCAUGCGGCCUGGAGAACUCGAGCCCGGUGUCGGUGCUGGAGGCGGGAGACGGGCAGGAGGAGUCGUCGACGACCACGACCACUUCGUCAUCUUCAGUGGAAGAAAUGGAGCAUGCAGAGCCGUGCUCGCCGUGCUCAGAUGGAGGCGAAACCCUGCUGGCGCCGAGCCAGCAGCAGCAGAGAACAAGGAGGAAGCUACUGCAAGCCGAUUCCGACAAUUUCGGUGGCAACCCACGCCCAGCAGCGGCGAGCUCCUCCUCCUGUGUCUUGAAAUGUUCAGACAGGGAUAGGAGGGACAGGAGAGUGGUGAACAAGGCAGAGGCUACCGGCCGGGAUGCGACCGGCAUUUGGCGAAUCAUCUGCAGGAUGGUUGAGCAAGAUAUAUGCGGCAUGCAGUGGCAAACCAUGGAUAAUGGCAACAUUGCAGCGGAGAUGGCGUCAGAGAUCCUUGAUCAGCUCAUAUGGGAGCAAACAGCUGAGCUGGUGCAGCUAACUCUGGUCUGA
rnacentral:rRNA from 1 species